rnacentral:rRNA from 1 species
GUCGAGGAUCUCCGUAAUCGGGGCCACACCCGUUCCCAUCCCGAACACGGUCGUUAAGCCCUCCAGGGCCGAUGGUACUGCGCUGGCAACGGCGUGGGAGAGUAGGUCGCCGCCGGGG